rnacentral:rRNA from 1 species
ACAGGAUUAGAUACCCUGGUAGUCCACGCCGUAAACGAUGAGUGCUAGGUGUUGGCCAGAGAUGGUCGGUGCCGCAGCAAACGCAAUAAGCACUCCACCUGGGGAGUACGACCGCAAGGUUGAAACUCAAAGGAAUUGACGGGGACCCGCACAAGCAGUGGAUUAUGUGGUUUAAUUCGAAGCAACGCGAAGAACCUUACCAGGUCUUGACAUCCGACUAACGAAGUAGAGAUACAUUAGGUGCCCUUCGGGGAAAGUUGAGACAGGUGGUGCAUGGUUGUCGUCAGCUCGUGUCGUGAGAUGUUGGGUUAAGUCCCGCAACGAGCGCAACCCUCGCCAUUAGUUGCUACGCAAGAGCACUCUAAUGGGACCGCUACCGACAAGGUGGAGGAAGGUGGGGACGACGUCAAAUCAUCAUGCCCCUUAUGUGCUGGGCUACACACGUAAUACAAUGGCCAUCAACAGAGAGAAGCAAUACCGCGAGGUGGAGCAAAACUUCAAAAAUGGUCUCAGUUCGGACUGCAGGCUGCAACCCGCCUGCACGAAGUUGGAAUUGCUAGUAAUCGUGGAUCAGCAUGCCACGGUGAAUACGUUCCCGGGUCUUGUACACACCGCCCGUCACACCAUGGGAGCCGGUAACACCCGAAGUCAGUAGUCUAACCGCAAGGAGGACGCUGCCGAAGGUGGGAUUGGCGACUGGGGUGAAGUCGUAACAAGGUAGCCGUAUCGGAAGGGGGG